AUGUCCUCCACCUCUACUUAUGUGAGUGCAGAGAGGACAACAGAGAACAGAGCAGUUGAACAUGAUGGACUAUAGGACAGGACUGCUGCUUUUCAUUAUCUGCUGGGCAGGUGUUGAUGGUCAGACUCUGACUGAAUCUGGACCUGCAGUGAAAAGACCUGGAGAAUCCCACAGACUGACCUGUACAACAUCUGGAUUCACAUUCAGCAGCUACAGCAUCGACUGGAUCAGACAGGCUCCUGGAGAAGGACUGGAGUGGAUCGCUGACAUCAGUAAUCUUGGCAGUACUCGAUAUUCUCAGUCAUUUCAAGGCCGUUUCACCAUCUCCAGAGACAACAGCAGAAACCAGGUGUAUCUGAAGAUGAACAGUCUGAAAACUGAAGAUUCUGCUGUUUAUUAUUGUGCACGAUACCCACAGUGACUGGAGUUAGUGAAUCAGCUGUACAAAAUCCUACAUGUCAGUAAAGCAGAGAUUCCUUAAUUGAUGUUUCAUCUUAGCAAACCAUUUCA